CCUCAGUCUCUCAAAGUGCUGGGAUUAUAGACAUAAGCCACCGCGCCCAGCCACAAUUAACAUUUUUAUUAACUCUGGUGAUUAAUUAGAAUCACUAAACCAGAAUCAUAGUUUAUUUAAUCAAUGCAGGUUGUUUUCUACAUGACUACCUCAUCUUUAACUUCUGUAUUAAUAAAGAAUUUGCACUUUCACUAUUCUCAGUCAUGGUAUGACUCAAUGUACUAGAACUGACUUAGUAUCCUCCUUGCAAAAAGUAAUGCAAGUUGGAACAAAGCCCAUAAGGCAACAUUUACCACCUAGAACAAUCAAAACAAAUAUUUUAACAGCAAUAGGUUUGUGGAGGACAGAAAGUCCUAGUGGCUAGAACAGUGGUGAUUAGAAAAGCAGUGGUUAGAACUUUUUUUUUUUUUUUAAUGAAAAAGAUGGGAGGGAAGAUGGCCACUAAAUUGUAUUUGAAACCAACAGAAUGAUCUAUCUGCUCUGGGGUCCAUGGAGAGGGAAGAGAGUGCAGAUUAUGAACUGGGAAGGCAGAAGACAGAAAGAUGAUCAGUUGGAAACAAACUGAAGGAGUGUGUUGGCUAGCAACACAUAACGAGAGUAGCGGCAGGCUUCUGACCUUGACGGUGACAGAGCCUUGUUCUCUUGUGUAAUCUGUCAGUUCUCUCUCCCUCUUACGGGAGACCAGCCUGUCUGGGAAAAAGUCACUUCGCUACCAGUGCCUCUGAGCACACGGCCAAAUUUCCCCAACCUCCUCUCUGAUCAGCUUCUGCUUCUUUUUGUAACACUAAGUGGGUUGGGGAAGCCCCUGGAGGCUGAGGGCUGUCAUAGACAUCUGUGUGAGGACUCCCAGGGGCCGAGGGAGCUGUGAGGAGGGACACAGAGACUGGGCUGACACCAGGUGCUUACCAUUAUCAUGUUUGGUGACUUGAUUCUGCAGUCAUGAAGAGAUGGGAACAUGACAUUAGAACAGGAGACAGCCACUGCAGGAAGGGGCUGGCAUAUUGACAACAGUUCCCAACGCUGAGAGGAACAGAGACCAACCACAGUGAGAAGAUGCAAAGGUUUUAGAGGCAGAAAGACUCCAAAGGCUCUAUCACUUAGUAAUUAUAGGAUUUGGGGCAAGUUAUUUGACCUCCUUGAGCUUGUUUCCUCAUCCACAGAAUGGAAAAAAUACCUUGUGAAGAACAGAGAUAAUGCAUGUAAAAUUCCUUGCAUAUAAUUGGCCCUUAAUAAAUGGCAGCUAGAGUUAGAAUUUUAACUGAAUGAACACAGAUACAAGGAGCCUUUUAACUGAAGCAAAGAUAAUUAAACAUCUAAAUAGAGCA